rnacentral:tRNA from 1 species
GCCUGGGUGGCUCAGUUGGUUAAGCAUCUGACUUUGGCUCAGGUCAUGAUCUCGUGGUUUGGUUUGUGAGUUCAAGCCCCACACCAGGUU